rnacentral:rRNA from 1 species
GGUUAAGCGACUAAGCGUACACGGUGGAUGCCCUGGCAGUCAGAGGCGAUGAAGGACGUGCUAAUCUGCGAUAAGCGCCGGUAAGGUGAUAUGAACCGUUAUAACCGGCGAUUUCCGAAUGGGGAAACCCAGUGUGACUCGUCACACUAUCAUUAACUGAAUCCAUAGGUUAAUGAGGCGAACCGGGGGAACUGAAACAUCUAAGUACCCCGAGGAAAAGAAAUCAACCGAGAUUCCCCCAGUAGCGGCGAGCGAACGGGGAGGAGCCCAGAGCCUGAAUCAGCAUGUGUGUUAGUGGAAGCGUCUGGAAAGGCGCGCGAUACAGGGUGACAGCCCCGUACACAAAAGCGCAUGUGCUGUGAGCUCGAUGAGUAGGGCGGGACACGUGGUAUCCUGUCUGAAUAUGGGGGGACCAUCCUCCAAGGCUAAAUACUCCUGACUGACCGAUAGUGAACCAGUACCGUGAGGGAAAGGCGAAAAGAACCCCGGCGAGGGGAGUGAAAAAGAACCUGAAACCGUGUACGUACAAGCAGUGGGAGCCCCACCACCAAAGCAUUCUCUGGUGUUGAAGGCCCUGCAAAGCAGCAUCGCGGUGGCGGAGCGUCGUUUGCGACGCCCAACACACAAAACAAGCGGUGAGUGCUUUGGGGUGGGGUGACUGCGUACCUUUUGUAUAAUGGGUCAGCGACUUAUAUUCUGUAGCAAGGUUAACCG